rfam:Ehrlichia ruminantium str. Gardel, complete genome.
GCAUGGGUAACAUGAGCAAAGCACUUGUGAAGCCGGUCAGGUUAGAAAUAAAGCAGCCGUAGCAUUGUUUCUUUGGGUUAUGUUGCCCAUUUUUU